rnacentral:rRNA from 1 species
UGGACCCUACGGGGGGCAGCAGUGGAGGAUAUUGCACAAUGGGGGAAACCCUGAUGCAGCGACGCCGCGUGAGUGAAGAAGUAUUUCGGUACGUAAAGCUCUAUCAGCAGGGAAGAAUAAUGACGGUAACUGACUAAGAAGCCCCGGCUAACUACGUGCCAGCAGCCGCGGUAAUACGUAGGGGGCAAGCGUUAUCCGGAUUUACUGGGUGUAAAGGGAGCGUAGGCGGCUGUGUAAGCCAGAAGUGAAAGCCCGAGGCUCAACCACGGGACUGCUUUUGGAACUACAUGGCUUGAUUGCAGGAG